rnacentral:rRNA from 1 species
GAAGCCCAGCGCAUAACCUCYCGGUCUACCAAGGCUGCGGCGGAAUGUUGCGUUAAGGGAAAGGUCGUUUCAAAGCCCUGCACAGCGUGUUCCUAAAUACGUCUUGAAUAUUCACUGUCUUCCUAACGGAGGCUACGGUUCCACAGAGGGUGACAGACCCGUGUGGCCACGUGGGUAUGUGCAUGGGUUCGGCUUUUUUUCCCUGAGAGUCGCGUUGCUUGAGCAUGCAGCGCUAAGCAGGUCGUAAACUCGACCUAAGGCUAAAUAUCUCCACAGAACCGAUAGUAAACAAGUACCGUGAGGGAAAGUUGAAAAGCACUCUGAAGAGAGAGUCAAAAGACCGUGAAACCGUUUAGAGUAUAAGCCAAUGGUUCUUCGGAAGGCUGGGAGCACCGCCUUCCCUUGUGGUGAUACCGGUUCGUGUGUGAUAAAUGAAAGGUGGAUGUGGGACGCAGUGGCAUUGAGUUGAUAAACACCCCASAAWGAUCUUGCGGGCCUCUGACAGUGGUAACAGGGAAGGUUCUAAUGAGGAUCCCGACCCGAGGCUGGGCUUUUGCAAGCAUCCAUUUUUUAGUCACACAAAACGAGUGCCUUAAGACAGCCCGUCACAACUCUUUAUGAGGUCACCCACACGACAUGACAUGGUUGUUAUCGUGGCGAGACUCUGGCAGUUACGACGCGUUGUCAGGGCCGUCCGAUAACGUUCAUGUAUAUCCAACGUGUGUUUGGUACGAUCCUCUGUGAAGGUUGCUUUUCUGACCAUCCCGAAACGUGAAUUUUGGUCUUAGCACGUAGGGACCUACAAUCGUGACCGGCGGACUGUCUGUAGGGACCCUACGUUCGUGGCGGAUGAUUGACGACUCAUUCCGGAACCAUCGGUCACGUCUCGAAACACGGGCCAAGGAGCAUAGCAUGUGCGCAAGUCUAAGGGUCUCACAAAACCCGGUGGCGAAGUGAAAGCGAAUGGUGUGUCUGUUGUCAGUUUUCGGAUUGAUGGCAGGCAGCUUAGUGAUGAGCGUAAUUCCUACGUGGAUGAAUGCGUCUCUAGCUUAUACCGGGCUGAUCCGACGCAAUCAAGACGAAUGUCGAUGCGACGGCGCAAGCCCCAGGCUCUCAACAUAACAUGUUGCGUGUUUGGGAGCACUGAGUAGCGUGUAUGCUAUAACCCGAAAGAUAGUGAACUAUGCCUGGCGA